rnacentral:rRNA from 1 species
AUGGACGACGCUCGCCGGGGCGUGUGCGGCGGAGACGGCUUCUGCCGCGCGUCGAGGUGGAGCAGCAGAGGACGGGAAGGCAAGAAGGCAAGGUGGGUACGCUGUGCACCAGGGCCGCCUUCGUCCUCCACCUCCUCCAAAAGCACGCGCUCGCCGCGGGCGGUGGCAGUGGCACGAUGGUCCUCGCCCUUGGGUGCGCGGGUGCGCGGACGCGUUGGGGAUCGAGGAAGCUCUCCUCCCUCGCGGCUGGAGGUGCUCGGGAUCGAGCGAGUGGGCGAGGGGAUCGGGGCCCCUGCUGGCUGCCUGCUUGGCGAUUGCACGCGAUGCUGGGCUGGCCGACUCGAUCUCCUCGACCCAGGGCCCCGUGCUCGUCAGCGCCGGCCCCAUCGCGCACGACUUCUCUGA